UAUCAGUCAUGCAUAGCAUAUCAAUAAGCGGAGGAAAAGAAACUAACAAGGAUUCCCUUAGUAACGGCGAGUGAAGCGGGAAGAGCUCAAAUUUGAAAUCUUCAAGGUUUUACCUUGACGAAUUGUAGUUUAAAGAAGUGUUUUCUGUUGAAGUUUUGGUAAAAGUUCUUUGGAAUAGGACAUCAUAGAGGGUGAGAAUCCCGUAUUUGACCAUUACUUUCAGCUUUGUGAUACUCUUUCAAAGAGUCGGAUUGUUUGGGAAUGCAGUCCAAAAUGGGUGGUAAAUUUCAUCUAAAGCUAAAUAUUGGCGAGAGACCGAUAGCGAACAAGUACCGUGAGGGAAAGAUGAAAAGAACUUUGAAAAGAGAGUUAAACAGUACGUGAAAUUGUCAAAAGGGAAGCGUUUGACACCAGUGUUGUUUUCUCGAAAAUCAAUUAAAAAGAGUUGGAUUUUGUGUUGUAUUGACUUUAUCAGCUUUCUUCACUCUUUUCCAGCUUUUUUUAAUGCACUUUUCGUUUAACAAGUCAACAUCAGUCUCUUUUGUUGUAAAAAGGUCAUUGGAAGGUGGCUUUCUCUUCGGAGAAAGUGUUUAUAGCCUUUGACUCAUGCAAUCGGAGAGACUGAGGUCUGCAGCGUAGAUCCUUCGGGGUUAGAUACAUUUGUGCUAAGUUAUAGCUUUCAUAGACAACUUGUUGACUAUGUUUAGUCUUGUAGCUUACUCGCUUAUGCUAUUUUACCUACGCUUAGGAUGUUGAACUCUAUCACACACAG
rnacentral:rRNA from 1 species